rfam:Tritrichomonas foetus strain K scaffold_571, whole genome shotgun sequence.
GCCUCUGUAGCAUAGUGGUUAUUGCGUGUGCCUCGUAAGCGCAAGGUCAUCGGUCCGACUCCGGUCAGGGGCA